AUUGAACGCUGGCGGCAGGCCUAACACAUGCAAGUCGAACGAGUGGCGGACGGGUGAGUAAUGUCUGGGAAACUGCCUGAUGGAGGGGGAUAACUACUGGAAACGGUAGCUAAUACCGCAUACCAUCAGAUGUGCCCAGAUGGGAUUAGCUUGUUGGUGGGGUAACGGCUCACCAAGGCGACGAUCCCUAGCUGGUCUGAGAGGAUGACCAGCCACACUGGAUCGGAGACACGGUCCAGGAUCCUACGGGAGGCAGCAAUGGGGAAUAUUGCACCAUGGGCGCAAUCCUUAUGCAACCAUGCCGCGUGUAUGAAGAAGGCCUUCGGGUUGUAAAAUACUUUCAGCGGGGAGGCGUUACCCGCAGGAGAAGCACCCGCUAAAUCCGUGCCAGCAGCCGCGGUAAUAC
rnacentral:rRNA from 1 species